GUAAGGAAUAUUGGUCAAUGGUGGGAACACUGAACCAGCCAUCCCGCGUGCAGGACGAAGGCCCUCUGGGUUGUAAACUGCUUUUACCAGGAAAGAAACGAGUGGACUUGUCCGCUCCUGACGGUACCUGGGGAAUAAGCACCGGCUAACUCCGUGCCAGCAGCCGCGGUAAUACGGAGGGUGCAAGCGUUAUCCGGAAUCACUGGGUUUAAAGGGUGCGUAGGCGGCCUGGUAAGUCAGGGGUGAAAGCUUCCCGCUCAACGGGAGAACUGCCCUUGAUACUGCCGGGCUCGAAUUGGGUUGAGGCUGGCGGAAUGUGGCAUGUAGCGGUGAAAUGCUUAGAUAUGCCAUAGAACACCGAUUGCGAAGGCAGCCAGCCAAGCCUUGAUUGACGCUGAGGCACGAAAGCGUGGGGAGCGAACAGGAUUAGAAACCCUGGUAGUCC
rnacentral:rRNA from 1 species